UCCCGCACCCACCGUCUUUUAUAGGCAAAUGCAGAGUUUUUCUUUGUUGUCACUUAUAAAAACUAUGUGGUAGUAUAUAUAAAUGGUUAAAUACAGAAGGAAGGAGUGGAAAACAGCGAGUGUGCUUUUUGGAUGAUGGAGAGGUUGUAGUUUUCUUUUCUACAAAGGGCUAACUUAUAUUGGUUGAAGUAGGUGGACCAAGACUCAGCAG
rnacentral:lncRNA from 1 species